rnacentral:rRNA from 1 species
AACGAACGCUGGCGGCAUGCCUAACACAUGCAAGUCGAACGAAGCCUUCGGGCUUAGUGGCGCACGGGUGCGUAACGCGUGGGAAUCUGCCCUUGGGUCCGGAAUAACAGUUAGAAAUGACUGCUAAUACCGGAUGAUGUCUUCGGACCAAAGAUUUAUCGCCCAAGGAUGAGCCCGCGUAGGAUUAGGUAGUUGGUGGGGUAAUGGCCCACCAAGCCGACGAUCCUUAGCUGGUCCGAGAGGAUGAUCAGCCACACUGGGACUGAGAACACGGCCCAGACUCCUACGGGAGGCAGCAGUGGGGAAUAUGGGACAAUGGGCGAAAGCCUGAUCCAGCAAUGCCGCGUGAGUGAUGAAGGCCUUAGGGUUGUAAAGCUCUUUUACCAGGGAUGAUAAUGACAGUACCUGGAGAAUAAGCUCCGGCUAACUCCGUGCCAGCCGCCGCGGUAAAAC